rnacentral:rRNA from 1 species
UACGAAGGGGGCUAGCGUUGCUCGGAAUCACUGGGCGUAAAGGGUGCGUAGGCGGGUUUUUAAGUCAGGGGUGAAAUCCUGGAGCUCAACUCCAGAACUGCCUUUGAUACUGAAGAUCUUGAGUUCGGGAGAGGUGAGUGGAACUGCGAGUGUAGAGGUGAAAUUCGUAGAUAUUGGGAAGAACACCGGUGGCGAAGGCGGCGACCUGGUCCGAUACUGACGCUGAGGCGCGAAAGCGUGGGGAGCAAACAGG